AUUGAACGCUGGCGGAAUGCUUUACACAUGCAAGUCUAACGGCAGCACGGACUUCGGUCUGGUGGCGAGUGGCGAACGGGUGAGUAAUGUAUCGGAACGUGCCCAGUCGUGGGGGAUAACGUAGUGAAAAUUACGCUAAUACCGCAUACGAUCUAUGGAUGAAAGCGGGGGAUCGCAAGACCUCGCGCGAUUGGAGCGGCCGAUAUCAGAUUAGGUAGUUGGUGGGGUAAAGGCCCACCAAGCCAACGAUCUGUAGCUGGUCUGAGAGGACGACCAGCCCCACGAGAACUGAGAGACGGUCCAGACUCCUACGGGAGGCAGCAGUGGGGAAUUUUGGACAAUGGGCGAAAGCCUGAUCCAGCCAUUCCACGUGCAGGAUGAAGGCCCUCGGGUUGUAAACUGCUUUUGUACAGAACGAAAAGGUUUCUACUAAUACUAGGAGCUCAUGACGGUACUGUAAGAAUAAGCACCGGCUAACUACGUGCCAGCCGCCGCAGUAA
rnacentral:rRNA from 1 species